UCCUUCUCAGAAUGGCACCUGGAGAGUUUCCAGUACUCUACCAGUCUUGGCUAUGAGAGGGAGAGCCAAGCAGAAGCCAUUCCAUUCCUAGCUUUGGAAGUGGCUAGAGAGUGGAAGACCAUCUGCCACAAGU